UACGGAGGGUGCAAGCGUUAUCCGGAUUUACUGGGUUUAAAGGGUGCUUAGGCGGGCAUGUAAGUCAGUGGUGAAAUACCGGAGCUUAACUUCGGAACUGCCAUUGAUACUAUAUGUCUUGAAUAUUGUGGAGGUAAGCGGAAUAUGUCAUGUAGCGGUGAAAUGCAUAGAUAUGACAUAGAACACCGAUUGCGGAGGCAGCUUGCGACACAAAUAUUGACUAUGAGGCACGAAAGCGUGGGGAUCAAACAGG
rnacentral:rRNA from 1 species